GAUGAACGCUGGCGGCGUGCUUAACACAUGCAAAUCGAACGAGAAAUGUAGACGGAAACCUUCGGGCGGAAGCCUUCAUUUCGAGUGGCGGACGGGUGAGUAACGCGUGGGUAACCUGCCUCAUACAGGGGGAUAACAGUUGGAAACGACUGUUAAUACCGCAUAAGACCACAGCAUCGCAUGAUGCGGGGGUAAAAACUCCGGUGGUAUGAGAUGGACCCGCGUUCGAUUAGCCAGUUGGCGGGGUAACGGCCCACCAAAGCGACGAUCGAUAGCCGAUCUGAGAGGAUGACCGGCCACAUUGGGACUGAGACACGGCCCAAACUCCUACGGGAGGCAGCAGUGGGGAAUAUUGCACAAUGGGGGAAACCCUGAUGCAGCGACGCCGCGUGAGUGAAGAAGUACUUCGGUAUGUAAAGCUCUAUCAGCAGGGAAGAAAAUGACGGUACCUGAGGAAGAAGCCCCGGCUAACUACGUG
rnacentral:rRNA from 1 species